rnacentral:rRNA from 1 species
GACGAACGCUGGCGGCGUGCUUAACACAUGCCAGUCGAACGGAAAGGCCCUGCUUUUGUGGGGUGCUCGAGUGGCGAACGGGUGAGUAACACGUGAGUAACCUGCCCUUGACUUUGGGAUAACUUCAGGAAACUGGGGCUAAUACCGGAUAGGAGCUCCUGCUGCUGGGGGGGGGUUGGAAAGUUUGGGCGGUUGGGGAUGGACUCGCGGCUUAUCAGCUUGUUGGUGGGGUAGUGGCUUACCAAGGCUUUGACGGGUAGCCGGCCUGAGAGGGUGACCGGCCACAUUGGGACUGAGAUACGGCCCAGACUCCUACGGGAGGCAGCAGUGGGGAAUAUUGCACAAUGGGCGGAAGCCUGAUGCAGCAACGCCGCGUGCGGGAUGACGGCCUUCGGGUUGUAAACCGCUUUCGCCUGUGACGAAGCGUGAGUGACGGUAAUGGGUAAAGAAGCACCGGCUAACUACGUG